rnacentral:misc_RNA from 1 species
AACGCACAUUGCGCCCCUUGGUAUUCCGAGGGGCAUACCUGUCCGAGCGUCAUAUACGUCCCUUAAGCGCUGCUUAGUCUUGGGUUAUGCUAGUGAUAACAGGCCCUAAAUCUAGGGGCAGUCACCGUCAGAUCCUGAGCGUAGUACUUUGAACUCUCGCUAUAGGCCUGAGUGUGUGACUGUUAUCUAACCAUUACAAGGUUGACCUCGGAUCAGGUAGGAAUACCCGCUGAACUUAA